CCUACGGGAGGCAGCAGUGGGGGAUAUUGCACAAUGGGGGGAACCCUGAUGCAGCGACGCCGCGUGGGUGAAGGAGUGCUUCGGCAUGUAAAGCCCUAUCGGCAGGGAAGAAGCAAGACGGUACCUGACUAAGAAGCCCCUGCUAACUACGGGCCAGCCGCCGCGGUAAUACGUCGGGGGCGAGCGUUAUCCGGAUGCACUGGGGGUAAAGGGCGCGUGAACGGCCAAGCAAGCCAGGGGUGAAAGCCCGGGGCCCAACCCCGGGACUGCCCUUGGAACUGGAUGGCUUGAGUGCGGGAGGGGCAGGCGGAAUUCCUGGUGUAGCGGUGAAAUGCGUAGAGAUCAGGAGGAACCCCGGCUGCGAAGGCGGCCUGCUGGACCGCGACUGACGUUGAGGCUCGAAAGCGUGGGGAGCGAACAGGAUUAGAUACCCUAGUAGUC
rnacentral:rRNA from 1 species